UACGUAGGGGGCUAGCGUUGUCCGGAAUCAUUGGGCGUAAAGCGCACGUAGGCGGCUUGUUAAGUCGGGGGUGAAAUCCUGGAGCUCAACUCCAGAACUGCCUUCGAUACUGGCGAGCUCGAGUUCGGGAGAGGUGAGUGGAACUGCGAGUGUAGAGGUGAAAUUCGUAGAUAUUCGCAAGAACACCAGUGGCGAAGGCGGCUCACUGGCCCGGUACUGACGCUGAGGUGCGAAAAGCUAGGGGAGCAAACGGG
rnacentral:rRNA from 1 species